GAUGAACGCUGGCGGCGUGCCUAAUACAUGCAAGUCGAGCGAACAGACGAGGAGCUUGCUCCUCUGACGUUAGCGGCGGACGGGUGAGUAACACGUGGAUAACCUACCUAUAAGACUGGGAUAACUUCGGGAAACCGGAGCUAAUACCGGAUAAUAUAUUGAACCGCAUGGUUCAAUAGUGAAAGACGGUUUUGCUGUCACUUAUAGAUGGAUCCGCGCCGCAUUAGCUAGUUGGUAAGGUAACGGCUUACCAAGGCAACGAUGCGUAGCCGACCUGAGAGGGUGAUCGGCCACACUGGACCUGAGACACGGUCCAGACUCCUACGGGAGGCAGCAGUAGGGAAUCUUCCGCAAAGGGCGAAAGCCUGACGGAGCAACGCCGCGUGAGUGAUGAAGUUCUUCGGAUCGUAAAACUCUGUUAUUAGGGAAGAACAAAUGUGUAAGUAACUAUGCACGUCUUGACGGUACCUAAUCAGAAAGCCACGGCUAACUACGUG
rnacentral:rRNA from 1 species